UGGAUUCAGAAGGCAUGAGGUAUCAUGUUAAGACUGUGAAAGUACUAUUUACUCUACAAUGGUGAGGAGUCCUCAUCAAAAUCAAAAAAUCUAAUUUCUUUUACAGGACCCAGAUGCUAUACAGUGGGAAAACCAGCCUGGCAACAUAGUGCGUAUUAAUAAAAGGACACCACAUCCUGCCAAAUUCCAGCUGCGCUAAUUGUAUUGUGUUCACAGAGCUCACAAGCUAUCAGAAAGUUGUAUGGCAACCACCUCCGGCGCCAAAUAGAACUGUCAGACAUAGACAUUCAGUACAAGAAGAAAAAGAUGGAAAAUCUUGCACUGGAGUCCGAAAUAAAAAAGAGGACAAUUAGGAAACUGGACCUUGAAAUAAAAAAACUUGAGGGAGCUCCAAGAAGAUGACACAGCUCAAAAUAAAAAUUAGCAAUCAGUACAACCAAGUCAUCGUUAUAAGGCAUCGCCCUCUUUUGCCCACCCCCCCAGCACCAGGUGUGGCCACUAGCCUAUAUGAAGGCCCAAAAUUGUGUGUUCCUUUCUGCUCUGACAAUGGCAUGCCCAUUCGUGCGAGAUGUGGUGGAUGAAGAAGCACUUGUGCUGAGGAGAGCCUUCAGGCGAGAAAGGGUCUUCAGGGACCGGUUGGACCCACUGGCCUUCCCUGAUGACCAUCUAUAUGAAAGAUACAGGUUUUCUGCAGAUGGCAUCAGGUAUCUAUGCAGACUACUGGGUCCCAGGAUUAAGCACUGCACGGAGCCAUGCACUGAGUGUGGAGCAAAUGGUGUGUGGCCUUGCGCUUUUUUGCUAGUGGAGCCUUCCUGUACUCAGUGGGGGAUGCAGAACAGCUGAACAAGGCCACAAUUUGCCGCACAAUAAGGAGUGUGUGUCUGGCUAUCAAAGCAUUAGCAGAUGUCUUCAUCUCCUUCCCUGGCCACAGAAGACUCUGUGACAUCAAAGAGGAGUUCUAUAGGAUUGCAGGUUUCCCCAAUGUCAUUGGUGCAGUGGACUGCACACACAUAAGGAUAAAAGCCCCCUCAGGUGCCCAUGAGGCCGAUUUUGUGAAUAGGAAAUCCUUUCACAGCAUUAAUGUUCAGAUGGUCUGCAAUGCUGACUGUGUGAUCAGCAAUGUUGUGGCAAAAUGGCCUGGCUCAGUCCAUGACUCCAGAAUCUUUCGGGCCUCUGAAAUCUAUCACAAGGUGAAUUCUCUGGUGUGUUGCUGGGAGACAGGGGGUAUGGCUGCCAGCCUUUUCUCCUGACACCUUUCACAGACCCCCAGGAAGCACAGCAGGCCUACAACCAUGCCAGGACCAGGGCCAGAGUUGAAAUGACCUUUGGCCUCCUGAAGGCACGCUUUCACUGCCUUCACAAAUUAAGGGUCAGCCCUGUUAGGGCAUGUGAUAUUACUGUGGCUUGUGCUGUCCUCCACAAUGUGGCCUGCCUGAGGAAGGAGAGGGCCCCCAGAGUGCCACCAGCCAUGGACUGGGACAAUCCGGCAAUCUUCCUGAUGACGACAGUGGUCGGCUGCUGAGGGACCAAUAUGUGUUGAAUUAUUUUAGUUAGUAUGUGUGCUUUCAAUUUUGGUUAAAUAUGUCCUGCGGUGGCAGAGGAAUUUGGUU